GUACACGCUGUGACUAGCAUAUCAAUAAGCGGAGGAAAAGAAACUAACAAGGAUUCCCCUAGUAACGGCGAGUGAAGCGGGAAGAGCUCAAAUUUGAAAUCUUAAAGGGUUUCCCUUUACGAAUUGUAGUUUAAAGAAGUGUUUACUGUUGAGGUUUUGGUAAAAGUUCUUUGGAAUAGGACAUCAUAGAGGGUGAGAAUCCCGUAUUUGACCUUUACUUUCAACUUUGUGAUACACUUUCAAAGAGUCGGAUUGUUUGGGAAUGCAGUCCAAAAUGGGUGGUAAAUUUCAUCUAAAGCUAAAUAUUGGCGAGAGACCGAUAGCGAACAAGUACCGUGAGGGAAAGAUGAAAAGAACUUUGAAAAGAGAGUUAAACAGUACGUGAAAUUGUCAAAAGGGAAGCGUUUGACACCAGUGUUGUUUUUCUGAAAAUCAAUUAAAGAACUGUUUAUGCUAAGUUGUUUAGACUUUAUCAGCUAACUGUUUAGUUUUGAGCUUUUCUUUAAUGCACUUUUCAGUUAACAAGUCAACAUCAAUUUCUUUUGCUGUAAAAAAGCUUGAGGAAGGUGGCUUGAGAUUCGUCUUAAGUGUUUAUAGCCUCUUGCCUAUGCAGUCGGAGAGAUUGAGGUCUGCAGCGUAGAUCCUUCGGGGCUAAAUGCAUUUGUGCUAAGUUAUAGCAUUUUAUAGACAACUUGUUGACUAUGAUUUGUCUUGUAGCUUACUCGCUUAUGUUAUUUUACCUACGCUUAGGAUGUUAACGCGCGUGUGUGCGUG
rnacentral:rRNA from 1 species